ensembl:lncRNA
GAUUUCAACACUUUGCUGCUCUGCAACGUUAAUUCCAUUAAUAUUUAAUAUUANGAUUAAAAAUAUUUAUGGCAAUUUUUAUUCAAAUUUUUUGGAUAAAGGCAUCUUUCAAAUGCAUAAAUGUCACCAAAAAAAAAAAAAAAAAAAAAAAAAUAUAUAUAUAUAUAUAUAUAUAUAAAAUAUUUUUUUUUUUGUGACAUUUAUGCAUUUGAAAGAUGCCUUUAUCCAAAUAUUUUUGAUAAAAUUGGAUACAAAUUUUGUGACAUAAAUGUCAUAUUUAUUACUUUUGAAUUUAAUAUUAAAUGCAUUUUUUUUUUCACAGCCUAAAGUGGUCAAAAGAGAGACAGUGUCUGUUCUUAGUAAGCUGAUGGAUUCCAAAGAAGCUAAUAAGAAAACAGAUCUGAUGGAAGAGCUUGGUUUGGGGGAUGCUGAUGAUCUUGAAGAUGCUUCAGACUGGGACUCUGCCAGCACCACCAGUAAGGCCAGUAAGAAAUUCCCAGUUCAUAAGCUGGAUGAGGAGCCCGUCUUUGAAAGCCCAGCAGCUUCCGCACUACCCAUAACAUCCGAGGAACAGGACGUGGACACCAGGGAACAUAAAAAAGCCAGUCCAGAGAUAAACAAACCCACAACCUCAAGCACAAAACCUCUACCUAGUCCACGUUCUCUCAACACAAACGCCAGCUCAAAACCACAAGCACUGCCACGACUGCGCUUGGACUCCAAUCAGAGGCCGGAGAGUGAAGGUAGAACUCAGAAACUACAAAUCUAGCUUUUGAGAUGAUUUCAAUAAAUAUAUAUGCUGAUACA